rnacentral:rRNA from 1 species
GGGGGCUUGCUCCCGGGUUAGUGGCGAACGGGUGAGUAAUAUAUCGGAACAUAUCCGGAAGUGGGGGAUAACGUAGCGAAAGUUACGCUAAUACCGCAUAUGCCCUGAGGGGGAAAGGGGGGGAUCGCAAGACCUCUCGCUUUCGGAGUGGCCGAUACCGGAUUAGCUAGAUGGUGAGGUAAAGGCUCACCAUGGCGACGAUCCGUAGCUGGUCUGAGAGGACGACCAGCCACACUGGAACUGAGACACGGUCCAGACUCCUACGGGAGGCAGCAGUGGGGAAUUUUGGACAAUGGGCGAAAGCCUGAUCCAGCCAUACCGCGUGAGUGAAGAAGGCCUUCGGGUUGUAAAGCUCUUUCAGCCGGAAAGAAAUCGCACUUUUUAAUACGGAGUGUGGAUGACGGUACCGGAAGAAGAAGCACCGGCUAACUACGUGCCAGCAGCCGCGGUAAUACGUAGGGUGCGAGCGUUAAUCGGAAUUACUGGGCGUAAAGCGUGCGCAGGCGGUUUGAUAAGCCAGAUGUGAAAUCCCCGGGCUUAACCUGGGAACUGCAUUUGGAACUGUCAGACUAGAGUGUAGCAGAGGGGGGUAGAAUUCCACGUGUAGCAGUGAAAUGCGUAGAUAUGUGGAGGAAUACCAAUGGCGAAGGCAGCCCCCUGGGUUAACACUGACGCUCAUGCACGAAAGCGUGGGGAGCAAACAGGAUUAGAUACCCUGGUAGUCCACGCCCUAAACGAUGUCAACUAGUUGUUGGGGGAG